rnacentral:rRNA from 1 species
CAGCAGCCACGGUAAUACGAAGGGGGCUAGCGUUGUUCGGAUUUACUGGGCGUAAAGCGCACGUAGGCGGACUUUUAAGUCAGGGGUGAAAUCCCGGGGCUCAACCCCGGAACUGCCUUUGAUACUGGAAGUCUUGUGUAUGGUAGAGGUGAGUGGAAUUCCGAGUGUAGAGGUGAAAUUCGUAGAUAUUCGGAGGAACACCAGUGGCGAAGGCGGCUCACUGGACCAUUACUGACGCUGAGGUGCGAAAGCGUGGGGAGCAAACAGGAUUAGAUACCCGCGUAGUCCCUGUCUCUUAUAC